rnacentral:rRNA from 1 species
AUGACGACGCACGAGCGGAAGACCGUCGAUCUGGAGGAAGGCUGGGCCUUCAUGCAGAAGGGCAUCACCAAACUCAAGAACAUCCUCGAGGGCAAGCCGGAGCCGCAGUUCAGCUCCGAGGACUACAUGAUGCUCUACACGACGAUAUACAACAUGUGCACGCAGAAGCCCCCGCACGACUACUCGCAGCAGCUCUACGACAAGUACCGCGAGUCCUUCGAGGAGUACAUCUCCUCCAUGGUCUUACCUUCAUUGAGAGAGAAGCAUGACGAGUUUAUGUUGAGGGAGCUAGUAAAGAGGUGGUCUAACCACAAAGUGAUGGUUCGGUGGCUAUCACGGUUCUUCCAUUACCUUGAUCGAUACUUCAUUUCACGUAGAUCGCUUCCAGCAUUGAGAGAAGUUGGGCUCAGUUGCUUUCGAGAUUUGGUAUAUCAAGAAAUCAAAGGGAAAGUAAAAAGUGCAGUCAUUUCCUUGAUAGACCAAGAACGUGAGGGUGAACAAAUUGACAGGGCUCUGUUAAAGAAUGUCUUGGAUAUAUUUGUUGAGAUUGGCUUAGGCAGUAUGGAAUGUUACGAGAAUGAUUUUGAAGAUUUCUUGCUGAAGGAUACUGCAGAUUACUACUCUAUCAAGGCCCAAACCUGGAUCGUGGAAGACUCUUGUCCUGACUAUAUGUUAAAGGCCGAGGAGUGCUUGAAGAGGGAGAAGGAACGAGUUGCUCAUUAUUUGCAUUCUAGUAGUGAACCGAAGUUAUUGGAGAAAGUGCAACAUGAGUUGUUAACGCAGUAUGCAAGCCAACUUUUGGAGAAGGAGCAUUCUGGAUGCCAUGCAUUACUUCGUGAUGACAAGGUUGAGGAUCUCUCAAGGAUGUACAGGCUCUUUUCUAGAAUAACUCGUGGCCUAGAACCUGUUUCUCAAAUUUUUAAGCAGCAUGUUACCAACGAAGGGACAGCAUUGGUGAAACAAGCAGAAGAUGCUGCUAGUAAUAAGAAGCCAGAGAAGAAGGACAUUGUUGGUUUGCAGGAACAGGUUUUUGUCCGGAAAAUCAUUGAGCUCCAUGACAAGUAUGUAGCAUACGUCACUGACUGUUUCCAGGGGCAUACCCUCUUCCAUAAGGCGCUUAAAGAGGCUUUUGAAGUGUUCUGCAACAAAGGUGUCUCUGGUAGUUCAAGUGCUGAAUUGCUUGCCACCUUCUGUGAUAAUAUUUUAAAGAAAGGCGGCAGUGAAAAACUCAGUGAUGAAGCUAUUGAGGAUACCCUGGAGAAGGUAGUGAGAUUACUCGCCUACAUCAGUGAUAAGGACCUUUUUGCUGAGUUUUACAGGAAGAAGCUGGCUAGGAGAUUGCUAUUUGACAAGAGUGCUAAUGAUGAGCACGAAAGAAGCAUUCUGACCAAGCUAAAACAACAGUGUGGUGGCCAAUUUACUUCAAAAAUGGAGGGCAUGGUCACUGACCUUACUGUUGCAAGGGAUCAUCAAACUAAGUUUGAAGAGUUCAUAAGCACACACCCUGAAUUGAAUCCUGGGAUAGACUUGGCAGUUACUGUUCUGACAACAGGAUUUUGGCCAACUUAUAAAUCAUUCGAUAUAAACCUUCCUGCUGAGAUGGUGAGAUGUGUGGAGGUUUUCAAAGAGUUUUAUCAAACAAGAACUAAGCAUAGAAAACUUACAUGGAUAUAUUCCUUGGGAAUCUGCCAUAUCACCGCAAAGUUUGAGGCCAAGACUAUCGAGCUCAUUGUUACAACUUACCAGGCUGCAUUGUUGCUAUUGUUCAAUGGAGCUGAUAAACUUAGUUACUCUGAGAUAGUAACGCAACUGAACCUGUCAGAUGACGAUGUAGUGAGGUUGCUCCAUUCUCUCUCUUGUGCGAAAUACAAGAUUCUUACUAAAGAACCAAGUAACAGAUCUAUUUCUCCUAAUGAUGUAUUUGAAUUUAAUUCAAAAUUUACUGACAAGAUGAGGAGAAUUAAGAUACCUCUGCCUCCAGUUGAUGAGAAAAAGAAGGUAGUUGAAGAUGUUGACAAGGAUCGAAGAUACGCAAUUGAUGCAUCCAUUGUUCGUAUUAUGAAGAGCCGGAAAGUCUUAGGUCACCAGACACUAGUAAUGGAGUGUGUGGAGCAACUUGGUCGCAUGUUCAAGCCCGACUUCAAAGCAAUUAAGAAGCGCAUUGAGGAUCUUAUAACCAGGGAUUACCUGGAGAGGGACAAGGAGAACCCGAACGUCUACCGAUACUUGGCUUGA